rnacentral:misc_RNA from 1 species
CCGAGUUCAUGCCCUCACGGGUAGAUCUCCCACCCUUUGCAUACCUUACCUUUGUUGCUUUGGCGGGCCGCCUAGCUACCGGCUUCGGCUGGUAAGUGCCCGCCAGAGGACCCAAAACCCUGAAUUAUUAGUGUCGUCUGAGUAAAAAGUUUAAUAUUUA